rnacentral:rRNA from 1 species
GCAGUCCUACGGGGCGCAGCAGUGAGGAAUAUUGGUCAAUGGGCUUACGCCUGAACCAGCCAAGUCGCGUGAGGGAAGACUGCCCUAUGGGUUGUAAACCUCUUUUGUCAGGGAGCAACGCCGGCUACGUGUAGCCGGACUGAGAGUACCUGAAGAAAAAGCAUCGGCUAACUCCGUGCCAGCAGCCGCGGUAAUACGGAGGAUGCGAGCGUUAUCCGGUUUUAUUGGGUUUAAAGGGUGCGCAGGCGGGAGAUCAAG